rnacentral:rRNA from 1 species
GACGAACGCUGGCGGCGUGCUUAACACAUGCAAGUCGAACGGAAAGGCCCUGCUUUUGUGGGGUGCUCGAGUGGCGAACGGGUGAGUAACACGUGAGUAACCUGCCCUUGACUUUGGGAUAACUUCAGGAAACUGGGGCUCAUACCGGAUAGGAGCUCCUGCUGCAUGGUGGGGGUUGGAAAGUUUCGGCGGUUGGGGAUGGACUCGCGGCUUAUCAGCUUGUUGGUGGGGUAGUGGCUUACCAAGGCUUUGACGGGUAGCCGGCCUGAGAGGGUGACCGGCCACAUGGGGACUGAGAGACGGCCCAGACUCCUACGGGAGGCAGAAGUGGGGAAUAUGGCACAAUGGGCGGAAGCCUGAUGCAGCAACGCCGCGUGCGGGAUGACGGCCUUCGGGUUGUAAACCGCUGUCGCCUGUGACGAAGCGUGAGUGACGGUAAUGGGUAAAGAAGCACCGGCUAACUACGUG